GCGAGUGGCGGUUCACUAGUAGAAUUCCUGCUUUCCAUGUAGGAGACCCAGGUUCAAUUCCUGACCAACGCA
rnacentral:tRNA from 1 species